rnacentral:lncRNA from 1 species
UAGAAUGCAGAAAAAUUUGCUCUAAUUUUUGAACUUGAUAAAGAUGUUACAUUUGAUUUUGUGUACAUUGUUAUCUAGCUUUCUAAUUGACACUUCAUUAUUUAAGGAGUUUUGAGCUUCUUGUGCCUCUUUUGUGAAGAGCCACAAAAAGCUCAAAAUGAAAACUUAAAGAAGUUUUGUGAAUCAUUUUUCAAAAAUUGUUUGCGGUCAAAAAGAAAAUAAAGAUUUAUCAAGGCAACUGAUAUGUUCUUUUAACCCUUUAAUAAGUAAUUUGAGAAAGUAAUAUUCUAAGAGUAAUGCUUUUCUAAUUGGCAUUCUAAAUAUACUAAAAGAGGUUCCAAUUUUUAAUUAACUAUAAAUUACAAUUGCAUAAUUUUGAAUUUAGUUGGUAUCUAAAGUGUUGUUUACUUUAUAAGUAUUUAUUAUUUAUAUAAUAAAAUAAUGCAUGUUAUGUAAAUAAACGUUUUUUUGAAAAUACAAAUUUGCUUGUACUCUUACAUAUACUUUAUAAAGUAUUCAAUAGCUCUAACUGUGUUAACACUUGUUGAUUUUUACUUGGUUGCUAAGGACAUGUGAACUACAUAGAUACAAUUAAUUCGAAUUUUAUUAACUGUGUCUUUAAACCCCUUUGAGGUAAGAUUGUUUUCAAAGUUUUAAUUUCAUUUUUGAAUUAAACUGGUUUCUAAGAGCCCAAAACGGCAUAGCAACACCAAAAAUUACUAAUUUUUGUUUGCAUCAUUUAUACAUAUAAAAUAGCAUCGUAGCAAUAAUAUCAGUUUAGUUUAUAAAUUUGACAUUUUAAGAAAGUCUCUUAACUUAGGUAACUAUGCAAAAUACACUGUUGCUAUGGAAUAUAGGUAUCCAUAGCAACUUAAUAAACAAUCUAAUGGUACCAUUAAAUUCGUAUGUUAUUACUUUUGUCCAGCUAAUAAUUAUUUUAGCCCACUGUGCUCUGUAGGAUUUGAACAUAAUAACAUGUCAUUUCUCCAAUUGGCUUUUUGGUCUUGGUCAGAAAAAACCAUAACAUGUCAUCAACUACAAGGUGCUUAAGCUUGUUCAAGAGAAGUUUUCCUCAAAUAAGUCUCUGAUUCCGAGUUUGCGCCGACAUUACCAAUAACAUAGGACUUAUACCAGAGGUCUUUGUGGACAGCUCGAUGGAUUAGACCCUAAGAGAUAUUAAGGUCCCUCGCAAUGGCUCUCAUGGACUUUGAAGGGCUUUUGUGAACGAUCUCUUGUACUUGUUGGACAAAUUGUAUAUUUCUAAUUGUGUCCGAGCGUUCCUCUUGUCUUUUGCAAUUUGCAACAGUUUCUACAUCGUCAGCUGAUGCUUCCCAUACCCGACGAACCUUAUGUACGAAUGAUCGGGCGCAGUUAAAAAAAUUGGCCAACUCUUAAACCACUAAAUAUCGGCCUAGUGGUCUUUAAGUCUGGUCUUUACCUAUUCGUUUCGAUUAAUUAUCAAGGAACUAAUAAAAAUGAGGAGUCAAAAUAAAGAAAGUUAUAAUAUUCUUAUAUGGAAGACUAGGAAGAAGUUCAGAACUUUUUCAGAAGUAAGCCGCAAUAUAUAGUGGAAGUAAUGGAUAAACUAAGCCUGCAAUUCAAAGCAAAGCAAAAACAUUAGAAAAAUCAAAUGGUAAGCAAAGUUCGACUGUAUUACAUUUCUGUUUUAUAAUGUUAGUUUAAACAUUUCUUUAUUAUUUUUAUUUUUUCGGCCUCAACAGCAACACCUUUUGCAGUUGAAUCAGAUAGUGCGUUUUGCAUACUCACGUAUAUUUGGAUGCUAUGUGUAUUGAAGCGUAAACAUUCAUUUUUUGAUGUUUGUACAAUAUUUCAUGACUGUUAAGUUUAUGUUAAUUUAAACAUUAAUUUUUUUUUUGCGUCCACAGAAGCACCAUUGGCAUCAGUAUCAGUUAAUCUGUUAUCAGGUAUGUGUUUUAUAUGUAUUCAAACUUAAACAUUACAUUUUUUGAUGAUUGUAUGUAGUUCCAUGGUUGUUAAAUGUAUGUUAACUUAAUCAUUACAUUUUUUUUUCCGCAGCAAAUUCUUCUCUUGCAACAAAAAAUUUAAGUGAAUUGAGAUGUUUAUUAAUUGUUGUAUGCAUAAUUUAUUUUGAUAUCUAUGUAUUCAAAUUUAUUUUUUUAGCAUCGUGGGAUGUGAUAGAUUUCUUCGAUAUUGCUCCUAGCACCCAAGCCCACUAUCACAAAGCUUCUUCCGGUGGUGUCAAUAUGGGAUUAUUCUGUUUUAUAAUGUUAGUUUAAACAUUUCUUUAUUAUUUUUAUUUUUUUUCUUUUUUUUUCCCUUCCUUUAGAUAAAGGAGACGAAUGCGAAAAAGAGACGAAAUUUUACUAUUAAUAAUAUAUAGAGAAAAUAAAAAGGUUAACAACA